rnacentral:rRNA from 1 species
CCUACGGGUGGCAGCAGUGAGGAAUAUUGGUCAAUGGGCGCGAGCCUGAACCAGCCAAGUCGCGUGAAGGAUGAAUGCUCUACGGGUUUUAAACUUCUUUUAUAAAGGAAUAAAGUGAGGCACGUGUGCCUUUUUGUAUGUACUUUAUGAAUAAGGAUCGGCUAACUCCGUGCCAGCAGCCGCGGUAAUACGGAGGAUCCGAUCGUUAUCCGGAUUUAUUGGGUUUAAAGGGUGCGUAGAUGGGUUGUUAAGUCAGUUGGGAAAGUUUGCGGCUCAACCGUAAAAUUGCAAUUGAUACUGGCAGUCUUGAGUACAGUUGAGGUAGGCGGAAUUCGUGGUGUAGCGGUGAAAUGCUUAGAGAUCACGAAGAACUCCGAUUGCGAAGGCAGCUUACUAAACUGCCACUGACAUUGAUGCUCGAAAGUGUGGGGAGCAAACAGGAUUAGAUACCCGAGUAGUC